rnacentral:rRNA from 1 species
CCGCUACCUGUAGCGGCGAAUUGUAGUCUCGAGAAGCGCCGUCACGGUGGAUCCCGCCUGCCCAAGUUGCUUGGAACAGCACAUCAGAGAGGGUGACAAUCCCGUAUGCGGCAGGUGGGACCACUCACGAUACGCUUUCCAUGAGUCGGGUUGCUUGGGAAUGCAGCCCAAAAUUGGUGGUAGACUCCAUCUAAAGCUGAAUAUUUGCACGAGACCGAUAGCGAACAAGUACCGUGAGGGAAAGAUGAAAAGAACUUUGAAAAGAGAGUUAAAAAGUGCGUGAAACCGUUAGAGGGGAAGCGGAUGAAGUUAGCAAUGCUCUUGCGAGAUUCAGGUGGCUGGUGGGCUAGACGUGUGGUUGGCGGAUCCGAAUGGACUGUCGCUGCACGGCCUGGUCCUCCACCCGCCGCACUUCUCGCAGGAGUGCGUCAACAGCUGCUGGACGGCAGCAGGCUAGACGGCGUCUGUGGAAGGUAGGUGAACGGCUCGCUCUGUUCACUGUUAUAGCCACUAACGUCCCAGCCUGCGUCUGGCAGAGGCGAGCGGUGCAUGCCCCGUGCAUUCGUGCCGGGGCUGGCGUCCUGUUCCGCACUCGUAGCUACUCGGGGUGCACUGCGUGCAGUUCACUCUGGGGAGCGAAAAGGCGUGCAGUAAACGCACACAAUCGCACCAUGGUUGUUGGCGGCCAUAUGGCUUCUUCCGACCCGUCUUGAAACACGGACCAAGGAGUCUAACAUGUGCGCGAGUCUUGGGGUGACCGAAACCCAGAGGCACAAUGAAAGUGAAGGCCGCCGUCGCUCUCUCUACUCGUGUUACUACGGGCGGGGCUGGCACGGUGGCUGAGGUGAGAUCACUGCUCCAACUCUGUGGGCGGUGCGCAUCAUCGACCGACCUAUUCUACUCUUAGGAAGGUUUGAGUAAGAGCGUACAUGAUGGGACCCGAAAGAUGGUGAACUAUGCCUGAGUAGGGUGAAGCCAGAGGAAACUCUGGUGGAAGCUC